UACGUAGGGUGCAAGCGUUAAUCGGAAUUACUGGGCGUAAAGCGUGCGCAGGCGGUGAUGUAAGACAGAUGUGAAAUCCCCGGGCUCAACCUGGGAACUGCAUUUGUGACUGCAUCGCUGGAGUGCGGCAGAGGGGGAUGGAAUUUCGCGUGUAGCAGUGAAAUGCGUAGAUAUGCGGAGGAACACCGAUGGCGAAGGCAAUCCCCUGGGCCUGCACUGACGCUCAUGCACGAAAGCGUGGGGAGCAAACAGG
rnacentral:rRNA from 1 species